CUCUCCUUAGCUCAGUUGGAAGAGCGUAAGACUGUAAUGGAUGUUGUGGGUUUGACUCGCGCGCAGAAUCAUCUUAAGGUCCCUGGUUCGAACCCGGGAGGGGAGA